GUAAGGAAUAUUGGUCAAUGGACGAAAGUCUGAACCAGCCAUGCCGCGUGAAGGAUGAAGGUCCUCUGGAUUGUAAACUUCUUUUAUAGGGGACGAAAAAAGGGAAUUCUUUCUCACUUGACGGUACCCUAGGAAUAAGCACCGGCUAACUCCGUGCCAGCAGCCGCGGUAAUACGGAGGGUGCAAGCGUUAUCCGGAUUCACUGGGUUUAAAGGGAGCGUAGGUGGGCAGGUAAGUCAGUGGUGAAAUCUCCGGGCUUAACCCGGAAACUGCCAUUGAUACUAUUUGUCUUGAAUAUUCUGGAGGUAAGCGGAAUAUGUCAUGUAGCGGUGAAAUGCUUAGAUAUGACAUAGAACACCCAUUGCGAAGGCAGCUUACUACGGAAUUAUUGACACUGAGGCUCGAAAGCGUGGGGAUCAAACAGGAUUAGAUACCCUAGUAGUCC
rnacentral:rRNA from 1 species